rnacentral:rRNA from 1 species
GAUGAACGCUGGCGGCGUGCCUAAUACAUGCAAGUCGAGCGAAGCGGGGACAGGUGAGAAACACGUGGAUAACCUCCUAUAAGACUGGGAUAACUUCGGGAAACCGGAGCUAAAACGGAUAAUUAUAGAUGGAUCCGCGGUGCAUUAGCUAGUUGGUACGGUAACGUCUUACCAAGGCAACGAUGCAUAGCCGACCUGAGAGGGGUAUCGGCCACACUGGAACUGAGACACGGUCCAGACUCCUACGUGAGGCAGCAGUAGGGAAUCUUCCGCAAUGGGCGAAAGCCUGACGGAGCAACGCCGCGUGAUUGAUGAAGGUCUUCGGAUCGUAAAACUCUGUUAUUAGGGAAGCGGUACCUAAUCAGAAAGCCACGGCUAACUACGUGCCAGCCGCCGCGGUAAUAC